rnacentral:rRNA from 1 species
GACGAACGCUGGCGGCGUGCUUAACACAUGCGAGUCGAACGAAGAGCGAUGGAAGCUUGCUUCUAUCAAUCUUAGUGGCGAACGGGUGAGUAACGCGUAAUCAACCUGCCCUUCAGAGGGGGACAACAGUUGGAAACGACUGCUAAUACCGCAUACGAUCUAACCUCGGCAUCGAGGAUAGAUGAAAGGUGGCCUCUACAUGUAAGCUAUCACUGAAGGAGGGGAUUGCGUCUGAUUAGCUAGUUGGAGGGGUAACGGCCCACCAAGGCGAUGAUCAGUAGCCGGUCUGAGAGGAUGAACGGCCACAUUGGGACUGAGACACGGCCCAGACUCCUACGGGAGGCAGCAGUGGGGAAUCUUCCGCAAUGGACGAAAGUCUGACGGAGCAACGCCGCGUGAGUGAUGACGGCCUUCGGGUUGUAAAGCUCUGUUAAUCGGGACGAAAGGCCUUCUUGCGAAUAGUGAGAAGGAUUGACGGUACCGGAAGAGAAAGCCACGGCUAACUACGUG